GACAGAGGAGGCAAGCGUUGUCCGGAUUGACUGGGCGUAAAGCGUCCGCAGGUGGUCGCGCAAGUGCGCUGUGAAAGCGGCCCGCUCAACGGGCCGAGGCCAGCGCAGACUGCGCAACUCGAGGUCGGGAGAGGUCGGUGGAAUUGCCGGUGUAGUGGUGAAAUGCGUAGAGAUCGGCAGGAACACCCAAGGGGAAGCCAGCCGACUGGCCCGCACCUGACACUCAGGGACGACAGCGUGGGGGAGCGAAACCGG
rnacentral:rRNA from 1 species